AGUGAACGCUGGCGGUAGGCCUAACACAUGCAAGUCGAACGGCAGCACAGUAAGAGCUUGCUCUUACGGGUGGCGAGUGGCGGACGGGUGAGGAAUACAUCGGAAUCUACUUUUUCGUGGGGGAUAACGUAGGGAAACUUACGCUAAUACCGCAUACGACCUACGGGUGAAAGCAGGGGAUCUUCGGACCUUGCGCGAUUGAAUGAGCCGAUGGCGGAUUAGCUAGUUGGCGGGGUAAAGGCCCACCAAGGCGACGAUCCGUAGCUGGUCUGAGAGGAUGAUCAGCCACACUGGAACUGAGCCACGGUCCAGACUCCUACGGGAGGCAGCAGUGGGGAAUAUUGGACAAUGGGCGCAAGCCUGAUCCAGCCAUACCGCGUGGGUGAAGAAGGCCUUCGGGUUGUAAAGCCCUUUUGUUGGGAAAGAAAAGCAGCAGGUUAAUACCCCGCUGUUCUGACGGUACCCAAAGAAUAAGCACCGGCUAACUUCGUG
rnacentral:rRNA from 1 species